GCUUCAUCCUGCCUGAGUUUUGGGUUAAGAUCCCACGGCAGAGGCUGAGUCUUUCUGGGAUUUGCACUGAAGUCAGUAUGAGUCAGUCAUCAGUUCUGAGCCAGAUCUGUACAUUUGACCCAUGAUUGCUCAAAACCAGCUGCCUCUGUUCACAGCUCAGGGCUCGGAGAAGCAGCAGGAGGGAGACACCGAUUUCACCAGCAGCUUUGGAGAACCCACGUUAACGAUACCCCAGCUGGUCGCGGCUCUGCUGACCUCCAUCUGUGCUCAUCUCAUCUUGCAGUCGGAGCUGGACUCAUCCGAUGCACAAACGUUCAGUCUUUUAGCCAGCUGUAAAUCAGCCCUGCCCUGCUGGCUUCACAGAGACUCCAAUUUCCACCAGCUGAGGGUCUGGCCCUAGAGAUGUAUUGUUCAGAAUGCUGGUUUGUGUCUUUCAUCUCCAAACCCUUCUUGCUGCUUUACUGGCAGGGGCUGCUGACAAUUUGUGUUUGAAGAAUUAUGAAGCGUCAACUUUUUGAAUCUCAGCAUCUGUUAUUCAAUCAUUAUUGGCUGAUCCCCCUCUAUUGUCUGACCCUGCCAGUGAUUUCCCACAACUGUCAAAAUGUAAAUCGACAAAAAUCAGAAAAAAUGCUUACAAAUAAAUAUUGAUAUUAACUGUCUAAAUUAUAAAAAGUACCAAGU